rnacentral:tRNA from 12 species
GGGUGAUUAGCUCAGCUGGGAGAGUACCUCCCUUACAAGGAGGGGGUCGGCGGUUCGAUCCCGUCAUCACCCACCA